rnacentral:Y_RNA from 1 species
GGCUGCUCUGAGUGCAGUGUUAUUUACAACUAAUUGAUCACAACAAGUUAUAGAUUCCUUUGUUCUUUCUCCACUCCCACUGCUUCACUUGAUCAGCCUUAA